rnacentral:rRNA from 1 species
UACGAAGGGGGCUAGCGUUGCUCGGAAUCACUGGGCGUAAAGCGCACGUAGGCGGACUCUUAAGUCGGUGGUGAAAUCCUGGAGCUCAACUCCAGAACUGCCUUCGAUACUGAGAGUCUUGAGUCCGGGAGAGGUGAGUGGAACUGCGAGUGUAGAGGUGAAAUUCGUAGAUAUUCGCAAGAACACCAGUGGCGAAGGCGG